GAUGAACGCUGGCGGCGUGCUUAACACAUGCAAGUCGAACGGUGAACGAGGGAGCUUGCUCCCUCCGGAUCAGUGGCGAACGGGUGAGUAACACGUGAGCAAUCUGCCCUGGACUCUGGGAUAAGCGUUGGAAACGACGUCUAAUACCGGAUACGAGGCGUGGGGGCAUCCCCAACGCCUGGAAAGAACUUCGGUCCAGGAUGAGCUCGCGGCCUAUCAGGUAGUUGGUGAGGUAAUGGCUCACCAAGCCUACGACGGGUAGCCGGCCUGAGAGGGGUACCGGCCAAGAGGGGGCGGAGACACGGCCCAGACGCCUACGGGCGGCAGAAGUGGGGAAGAUUGCACAGUGGGCGGCAGCCUGAUGCAGCGACGCCGCGGGCGGGGCGACGGCCUUCGGGUUGUAGACCUCUUUUAGCAGGGAAGAAGCGAAAGUGACGGUACCUGCAGAAAAAGCACCGGCUAACUACGUGCCAGCAGCCGCAGUAAAAC
rnacentral:rRNA from 1 species